rnacentral:tRNA from 1 species
GGUGCCAUGGCCGAGUGGUUAGGCAGAGGUCUGCAAAACCUUGUACAGCAGUUCAAUUCUGCUUGGCACCUCCA